AACGAACGCUGGCGGCAGGCCUCAUACAUGCAAGUCGAGCGGACGGACCCCUUCGGGGGCGAGUUAGCGGCGAACGGGUGAGUAACAGGUGGAUGAUCUGCCUCCUGGUGGGGGAUAACGGCUGGAAACGGCCGCUAAUACCGCAUUCGGUUGUCACGCUGCGGCGUGAUAAAGAAAGGCGCUUCACGGCGCCGCCGGGAGAUGAGUCCGCCCCCCAUUAGCUAGUUGGCGGGAUAAUAGCCCACCAAGGCUACGAUGGGUAGCCGAACUGAGAGGUUGAUCGGCCACACUGGAACUGAGACACGGUCCAGACACCUACGGGAGGCAG
rnacentral:rRNA from 1 species